CCUACGGGAGGCAGCAGUGGGGAAUAUUGCACAAUGGGGGAAACCCUGAUGCAGCGACGCCGCGUGAGUGAAGAAGUAAGUCGUGAUGUAAAGCUCUAUCAGCAGGGAAGAAAAUGACGGUACCUGAGUAAGAAGCCCCGGCGAACUACGUGCCAGCAGCCGCGGUAAGACGUAGGGGGAAAGCUUUAUCCGGAUUGACUGGGUGUAAAGGGAGCGUAGACGGCAGGGCAAGUCUGGAGUGAAAGGCGGGGGCUCAACCCCCGGACGGCUCUGGAAACUGUACGGCUGGAGUGCAGGAGAGGUAAGUGGAAUUCCUCGUGUAGCGGUUACCUGCGUAGAUCUUCGGAGGAACACCAGUGUCGAAGGCGGCUUACUGGACUGUAACUGCCGUUGAGGCUCGACAGCGUGGGGAGCAAACAGGAUUAGAUACCCGGGUAGUC
rnacentral:rRNA from 1 species